GAAGAAACGCUAGCGUGAGGAGGGUGUUUUGAACACGAUGAGCCGCCAACAGACUACAAGCUAGUCUUGAUGUCUUCACCAGUGGAUGGGAUAACCACCCACUUAGAACUGAGGGUAACCUAACACCCAAUCAGCUGUGGGAGAUGGGGAACAUUCAGCAUGCUAUGGCAGAACCAGAAAAUGCAGAGGGAUUGUACCUACCACAUUUGGACUGGGAGGACAGUGGCCUGCCUGAGGAGCCACACCAUGGUGUCACUGUUCCUGAGAUGGGCAAUGUACUGAGUGAUGAACAAAUGGCAGCACUAAGGAGAGAUAUAAAUCCCCUGGGACACUCCCAAUCACAUGGCUCAGACAUCUACCUACUUACCGUCCAGUAUGUCCAGCAAUUACUAGGCUUACAGUAAAACCUACUAGGCGAAGGAGCUGA